AUCAGAUUGUCAAAAGACAUAAUAGCUGUCGUAUUCUUAUUUGUUCUAGGCUUAAGAAGAAGAAAGUCAAUUAUCAGCUGCUCCAGAGCUCAGCUACCUUCUUGACAUGGUCCCUUGCAAAGGUCCUUCUCUUGAAUGGUUCCAUACAUCUCAGAGAAGGAGCAUUUCACCUUUCUGGUCCACGGGUUGCACACAAACAUCAAACUAAGUCCAAGCCGAGCGAUAAGGCAAAAGAAAGAUAAGAAAAAAGAAAGGUCAGCACGCAACCUCUUCCCUGGAGAUAAGUAAGAAGGACAGCGUGUAUCUCCCUCCUGAAGCUUUGUUAAUUUGAGCAGGUUUGCUAGCUGGAAGAUUUAGAGGGAGGGAGGGUUAGCAAAUUCUUCUGCAUCUCUGCUGUGCCAGAAAUUUCCCUAGAAGCAGAAGACUUUGUAUGACAUCGUCAGCUUCACAGCAGAUUUAAAAGAAUACUCUGUGACAAGCACAAUCAAAUCCAUGCACAAUGAAAUCAGAUGUAGAGAAACCGGUUUAUAGAUGCACACUAACAUGUGUUCAUCAGUGUGCUGCAGUGCCAAAAAGCCUAAAGUUGUGUGAAAAGGGAGAAAAAUCAACUCCAGAAAAGCAAAACUGUUACAGAUUAUGAUCAGCCAGUGCCAGGCCAGUCUGUCCUGGUGCAAUUUGCCUUCUCUGCAAGAGGAAAGGGUAACAGAAAAUUUGUAUCUGUAAAAUAAAGAGGAGAGAGAGCAAUUGGCUUGUGCCUGA
rnacentral:lncRNA from 14 species